CCAACUUGUCUUAUUGUUCCAGGCUCACAGUACUAGCCUUACCAUACAACAAGUUAGUAGGAAGAAUUCCAUUUGAGUUUGUCUCGCUAUACAAACUCAAAAGACUAGCUUUACACAGAAACAGUUUGACAGGAGGAAUCCCACCUUUUCUUGGGAAUCUAUCGUCCCUGGAACUUUUGUCUCUAGGUGCGAAUUCUUUUGGAGGAAAUAUUCCAGAUUCAUUGGGUCAAUUGAAAGAGUUGGAAGCUCUUGGAAUUGGCGGAAACAACCUCUCCGGUACAAUCCCGCAUUCCAUUUACAAUCUUUCCUUCGUUGAAAUAUUUUCGGUGCCUCAAAAUCAACUUCAUGGAAGCCUUCCAACAAGUUUAGGCCUUACUUUUCCGAAUCUCAAAUACUUCCAAAUCGACCAAAACUUCUUCAGCGGAUCAAUUCCAACAUCUCUAUCAAAUGCUUCAAAACUUGAAGUUUUUCAAAUUGGGAAAAACAAUUUUUCCGGAAAACUUUCAGUCAAUUUUGGGAGCAUGAAGAAUCUUUCAUUCUUAAAUUUAUAUUCUAGUAAUUUAGGAAGUGGGGAAAGUGAUGAGAUGGGGUUUAUAAAUUCUUUGGCCAACUGUAGCAAAUUGCGAGUUCUCCGUUUAGGUGGAAAUCAAUUUAGAGGAGCAUUGCCUCAUUCAAUAGCUAAUAUGUCAAAUCAACUUCAAAUUUUGGCCCUUAGUGAUAAUCAGUUAUAUGGAAGCAUCCCUUCAGGAAUAGGGAACCUUGUUGACUUAUAUUUAUUAGAGAUGGAGGAAAACCAAUUUACAGGAGCAAUUCCUAAAGAACUGGGUAAACUUCUAAAAUUACAGGGCUUGGAUUUUAGUGGCAACCAUUUGUCCGGGGAAAUUCCUUCCACUCUGGGAAACCUUUCGUCAUUAUUUCAAAUUUUCUUAAAUAAUAACAAUUUAUCAGGAGUCGGAAGUGGCGAAGCUAUCAUCAUUUUUUUCGGUGGGCUAGAGUUUUUUAAAAAAUAAAAUGUAUUUCUCCAAAAAUUUAUUUUAUACAAACAAAUUAAGCACACUACAUAAGCAAAAAUCUAAUUUUAAAAUUAUAAAAAUACAAUUUAAAUAAGAAAAAUAUUAUCAAAUAUUAGAUUUAUUUUUAUUUUUUAUAAAUAUUAAUAAAGUAAAAUUUUAAAUUAUAAUAUUUUUUUUUCAAAAAGCUAACCCGGGCUGCAGCCCGGGUUAGCCUCCCUUUACCUUCGCCACCUCAUUCCUUCUAGUCUGGGAAAUUUGAAACGAUUGGCAUAUUUAGAAAUGUUCCAAAAUGACCUCAGUGGAACUAUCCCAGAAGCCAUUUUCAGUAUAUCCUAUCUUUCAAAUUCAUUGAAUUUAGCCGAAAACCACUUCGUUGGAUCUAUACCUCCAAGGAUCGGUAAUUUGAAAGCUUUGAGGAGUUUUGAUGUGUCUAAUAAUGGCUUAUCUGGUGAAAUUCCAAUUGAACUUGGUCUUUGCUCUAGUCUUGAAGAUAUUUAUUUAGGGGGUAACUUCUUCCACGGAUCUAUUCCUUCAUUUUUCCGAACUUCAAGAGGUAUUCGAAAGCUUGAUCUUUCGCGGAAUAAUUUGUCUGGCCAAAUUCCAUUAUUCCUCGAGGCUCUUUCGUUGGAAUAUCUUAACCUAUCCUUCAACGAUGUCGAGGGGAAAGUACCAACAAAAGGAAUUUUCGCAAAUACAAGUGCAAUAUCAGUUGCAGGUUGUCACAGACUUUGUGGGGGCAUACCUGAAUUGCAGCUACCUAAAUGCACCGAGAACAAAUCAAGCAAUCAGAGGAUCUCUCGAAGCCUAAAAAUAUUAAUCUCAAUUGUGAGCGUCUUUUUAGGAAUAGUGAUGUUGUCAUUUUUCAUUUUCAGUUGGCACAAAAGGAGCAGACCUUCCAGGCAGCCUUCAGAACCAAUGAUUAGAAAAGCACUUCUAAAGAUGUCUUACAAAAGCCUCCUCAAAGCAACUGAUGGGUUUUCCUCAACAAACUUGCUUGGAGUUGGUAGCUUUGGCUCUGUGUAUAAGGGAGUAUUUGAUGAAGAUGGAACUGUUGUUGCAAUCAAAGUGAUUAACCUUCAUGGCUGAGUGCAAAGCCUUGAAAAAUAUUCGUCAUAAAAAUCUUGUCAGGGUCAUAACUUCAUGCUCAAGUGUUGAUUUUCAAGGUAACGACUUUAAAGCUAUUGUUUAUAAGUACAUGCCAAAUGGGAGUCUUCUAAAAUGGUUGCAUCCAGAUGCUAUUCCACAAAGAGACAGAGAAAUUGAAAUUCAGAAGCUUACCCUUCUUCAGAGAAUAAGCAUUGCCAUUGAUGUGGCUUCAGCACUAGACUAUCUUCAUCAGCACUGCCAAGAACCAAUUCUCCAUUGUGAUCUAAAGCCAAGUAAUAUCCUUCUCGAUAAUGACUUGUCUGCUCACAUUGGUGAUUUCGGACUAUCUAGAUUUUAUCAAGCAGUCUCAAAUCCAACUGUAAGCAGCUCUAUUGGAGUAAGGGGGAACAAUUGGCUAUGUAGCCCCAGGUUAUAACUUAUAUUCUAAUCCGUAAUUUAUUUUUUUAGUUUUUUAAUUUCUUUUUGCAAUUCCUAACUUCUUAAUAAAUCUUAUAUUGAAUAGCAGAGUAUGGCCUUGGAAGUGAGGUGUCAACAAAUGGAGAUGUUUAUAGCUAUGGAAUAUUGUUGUUGGAAAUGGUGACAACAAAAAAACCAACAGAUGUUAUGUUUGAAGGAGGCUUGAAUCUUCAUAACUUUGCAAGAAUGGCCUUGCCGGAUCAUGUGAUGGACAUAGUGGAUCCAAUGCUUCUAAACGACGAUAAAGUUUUGGUUGGUACUGAUAACCAUAGGCGAAGUCAAACAAGAACCAACAGUACAUUAGAAUGUCUCAUUUCUAUGGUCAGAAUUGGAGUUGCUUGUUCAAUGGAGUCGCCGCAAGAUCGAAUGAACAUCACCAAUGUUGUCCAUGAGUUACAAUCAGUCAAGAACAUUCUCCUUGAACCUAAAACCAUGUUCAACAAGCAAACAGAUAACUAGAUAAUGCAAUAUUCUGCUAUAGUUUUUGUCCAAGUGAUAUAAAUUUACAUUGUAUCUCAUGAGAUAAAUAAAAGGCUCAUUACUUUGUUUUAUGUUUUUUACAGUCCUAGUCUUAUGAAUCACAAGCAACAAAGUUAAAAGCUUCAUCCAACAGAAGAAAGUGAAAUUUGAUCUUAGACGACGAAAACAGGGCUGCCAGAGGAAAUAACAAUUUUAUCACAACUGUAUAAUUCUGUAGGUUUAUAAUUAAAAUUUUGGCGGUAUGGAGUAUUCCAAUUAGAGGCUGGCAAUAUGAUGAACUUUUGUUGCUCACGUUGAUUUUGAGCUUUACUAGUUUAUUGUGAUAUCCGUUUGAUCAUAGUUCGGUGUAGGGACUGUUGGGAACUAGGCAGACCAAACUACCCUUGCUAGGACCAUUGAACAGAUUUUGCUGAUGCUGAUAAAAGUGAAACUUCUCAAGCCUACUGUUUGAUGAAAAUCCAAAACUGUUUGGUGAAAUGCCUCAAUGAAUGCAUAUUGGGGCAGCUAGAGGCAAUAACAUUUUAUCAACCUAUGUACUUUUGUGGGUUUCAGCUACAUUAUGUAUUCAAUCUAUGUCCAAAAAAAAAAAAGUUUCGGAUUUUAUUAUUUUUGGUCUAUGAACGUUCUAGCCAACGUCAAUAUGUGAUGAUAUUACAACGUAGAACCAAUGAAGCCAAUUUGGACUAGCUCUCUAGAAAAUAUUACACGCUUUUAAUGUAGAUGUGAAUGUUAUAUUCGGGGGGUUGAAUUUAUAGCGAUCACAGUAAAUAACUCAGGAUUUAAUGGUGAUGUUGAGUUUGCAGAGGCAGAAGGAAUCAGAUUUGAAGCCCAAGUUGCAAUUGCCUUUGAUGACGCAGUCAGAAACUAUGAAAAUGAUAAAGGGCAAUGAAAGCAACUCUAAAGAGAUCUUUUGGUCAGUUUUAGAAAUUCAAGGGGUGAUGAUAAUAUUGUAAUUGUCCAGCUUAUAGAAUAGCUAAACUGUGUCCAAUUACAUAUAUGGUCAACUAUUUGCUGCAAUAUUGAUCAAGGGUAUACAUAGAUUACAAAUGUAUAAUUUCUAGUUCUAGGAAAUAUAUGUUGCCACAGUACGCCCUCUCUAAAAAUAUAUUUCACCUUCUAAGAAAGUUCAACUUUCCUAUACAAUAUGCAAAAAGAAAAGCAAGAACAAGAGGGUAGAUAAUAAGAACGGCAGCCGUAAUCGGCAAGCGAUCAUGAUGAAACCCAAAAUAAUCUUCUAAGAAGGAAGACAAUGAUUUUGUUUCACCAAAUACAAUAAUUUCCUUGUCAAUAUCUCCAUAUUGUGAAGUAAUCAUACCAUUUAGAGCCCAAGAGGUAGGCAUCAUAUAAUACAACCAAAUCCACCAAUUGGGAAUUUUCUGCAGAAAAUUAAAUAUCAAAGUUAAUAUUCAAAACAUUUUGCUAAUUAUAUAUAUACUCAUAGAUACACAUAAAUGUAGUGGCUUACCGGUCCAGGAAUCAAAAAUCCAGAAAAGAGGUUGAAUAAUGUAUAGAAAACUGUGGAUAGAAUUGACGCAAUCAUGAAAUUUGGUGUCAAUGACACUAGUAGCAUUCCCAGAUAAUUGUAAAACAUCAUUGUGCAAAACAUCGCAUAGAAAUUCCAGAAAACCUUAUAUGCUGAACCAUAAUAUCCGAUCAUUGGAUAACUGAUGAUCACAUAUGCAAGUGCUUGAAUAAGUAAAUAAGGAAUCUCAACUGUCACCUACAAAAUCAGUAUGCAUAUCUAAAUAAGAAAAAUUAUCAAUAAAAAGAGCACAUUACAAGAUUCUUUGUGAGUUGAACAAAAAGCCAACAUGAAGAUUGAAGUAAAAUUCAUAUGUACCUGUGCAAGUGCAUAAGCCCAUGGAGAGUACAUCCCAGCGAAUCCUUCACGAUACAUAACAGUUCUCUCCCUCGCAACAUUUGGUAUAACUGAUGAACCAUUGUUUAUCCCCAAGAAUACCACAGCCAAGUAUAAUGAACCCACUAUAUUGAACAAAUUUUGCUGGUUAUCUCUGGCAGAUUUAAGGGAAAAUAAAUAGAUGUUAGAUGCUUGCAAACUAUACUAAUAAUUUCAUCUUACUAAAACGAAUGAAACUAGAGCACAUGUGCUGAUGAUGAUCAGUCCAUCAAAAGUAAUUCUAGGUUCAUUUUAGAAAACAAUGUGAUGGGAUAGAAACGAUGCAUAAAUUUCUGCUGCUGAUGUGUAGACAAACCAUGACAGGUUAUCACUAAAGAUAUGAAGCUAAAUGCCCUUCUAAGGUCAUACAGAGGAGCAAUUGAAAGUCAAAGCAUAACCUGUUGAUCGAAACUGUUCAAUAAACAUUGACGAGGAGCAAGGUCUAAUAUAAAAUAUUUAAAAGAACCAAAAUGCAGAGAACCCCUGGCACUAUUUAACAGUAAAUAGUACUUUUUUCCUUGACAAAUAUAUAUUUAGCAAUGUACUUACAUCUUCUGUCCUUGUUCCCAAAAAAGUACACCAAAAAGUAAAGAUGAUGUAGUUGUGUGCAUUAUACGCGUUAAAUUGUAUGAAGGACUUCUCCAGUAAGACAAAUGGAGCUUCCACAAGCAAGAUUUAAAUUGUCCCCAACCAUUGCGUGAAAAGCGAGUUGGAAAAUGCAGAUCUCUUGAACCAAGAGGUGGAGUAUUCAAUUGCUUUACAAGUUCUUUGUUGUUCCUACAAGCAUUGCAAUAUCGCCAAAUGCAAAAGGCGUAAGUGAUUGUCAUCCAAGCAUACUAACUGCAACGCAAGCAAAUGAAAUUCUACUAUUAUAGAAAUCUGAUAUUUACCCUCAGUUCUGUGGAAAGGAGAUGUUCUCUAACUAAAAGCAAAUCUUUCAUAUCAAAGAUUGGCUGCAUUAUUACUAUUGAUCAAUAUAUAUAUAUACACACUGCCAACUGGUUGUUCAAAUCCUCUUUUGUUGUUCAUGAGCAUAACAAUUAAAAAAAUUUAUGGCUAGCCUCCUCCAGAGUAAUUAUAAUUUUGUGGUAGUAACACAUUCCAAAACUACAACAAAAUCUAAGACCCUUUUUUAAUUGAACUUACUCAUAUAAAGCAGAUUCCCUGUAUAUUUGAGAAAAAUCUAUACCAAGUUCAGCUUCAGCAGAUGUGGAAGUGACUUCUAAUAUCCAUGUUGCUGGGUUAUAAUUUUUUCUAAUCUUUGGCACUCCAGAGAUACCCUGUCAGUAAAAGUGUUUAGUCGUCGGCUUUUAAAAAAAUAAAAUAAUUUGCAAGAACUCACCUCAAAGUACUCUAUGACUUGACUUGAAUGCUUUCCUAAAGGUCCACAGUAGAUGAUGCGCCCACCAAUUUUCAAGAGGAUCAGCUGAAGAUCCAGAUAAAAUGUUUGUAUCAAUUCAUCGAAACGAGAGUAACUAGAUUAUUUAAGCUAAACUAAAUCUCUUUCCCCAUAAGAAAAGCGACUUGAUACGCCAAAACUUGACCAUCGAGUAUAAAAGUAUUACCAGAAUGAAACCAGCAUCAACGUUUCACAAUCAAAUUCUAGUUUUACAUUUAUAUAAUAAAGCAAGCUAAAAUUGUUUUACCUCAUCAAAUGCUUCAAAUAUAUCAAUACUUGGUUGGUGGAUAGUGCAUACAAUUGUUCUUCCUGUAUCAACCACAUUUUUCACAGCUCGCAUGACAAUUGCUGCUGCUCGUGCAUCAAGACCAGUUGUAGGUUCAUCCAUAAAAAUUAUAGAGGGAUUGGCGACAAGUUCGACAGCUAUAGUAAGCCGCUUACGUUGCUCAGUUGACAGACCAUUAACACCAGGUAUGCCAACUAAGGAAUCCUUAAUUCCAUCAAGCUCAAUGGUCUCCAGGACUUCAUUCACAAAUUCCUAUCGGAACAUGCCAUAGAAGCAUUAAAUAUUCAUCAUCUGAAACCUAAAGCAAUCAGUGAACAUUAGAGCUACAGAAUCUUACAGCUUUAGUUUUUGAGUUGAUCUCAGGUGCAAGACGUAGCCAAGCAGAAAAUAUUACAGAUUCUUCGACAGUGAUUUGAGGAGAAUGUAUGUCUGUUUGUUCACAAUAACCUGAAACUCUAGCAAAUGUUUCUUGAACCUUAGGAUACCCACCAAUUUUUAUUUCCCCAUCGAUAUAGCCAGUUGUCUUUCUUCCUGCGAGAACAUCUAGCAGAGUUGUUUUUCCAGCUCCACUAACACCCAUUAAUGCUGUUAGAACACCUGGCCUCAAUGAGCCUGUAACAUCAUAAAGGAGUCGAAGUUUCUUCUCGGUAAAUCCCCGCUCUCUCAUUUCCUAAUACCAAGGGGGGCAAAUUAAAGUCUAUAAAAAGUCUAUCUAAUGCCUGUAAAUGUGCUGCAUUGUCCAAGAUUAUAAACAUCACAAGAAUGGAUAAUAAGAUUACCACAGGGGUGUCAAUAUAGUAUUUAAGGUCCUGAAAUGCUACUGUCAAGGGCUCAAAAGGUAAGACCAUCUUGUCUGUUGAUUAAGAUAAGGCAUUAGUUGAAAUUAUGAAGAAUGUAAAACAUUAAAAUGGCAAAAAAAAAAAAUGGAAAUUGCAUUAACCUUUAUAAGAUUCUUUAUUAGUCAUAGGAGCACUCCUAGAAUGCUCUUUCACAAUUUCACCGGAAGUGGAAUCUUCACUUACUCGCAUCUCGGAAAACUUUUCAAGUGAAAUCAUGGCACGAGAUGACCCAGAAGCUGUAUUUGUAUCAACUUAGGUACACAAAUAUAAUUAAUCUCAAGCUGAUACAGGAUUACUACAAAGAAGAACUUACUCUUCAAGAAAGUUAAGGCCAAGGUAAAGCCAAUGUUAAGAAGUAAGGCAAAGCCAAACAAUGCACCAAGUGAUAUCCAGAAAAGAUAUCCAUCAAAGUUUAGUCCACGGCUUUCAAGUAUUUCUUGCCCUAUUGUAGUAUUUGUGGGCAGCAUCUACAACAUAAUAAGAAACAAAAUUACUUUCUACAAACAUUAAUAAAUAAUAAAUAUCAUAUGGCAAUAUGAUAAGUUUUGCCAAAACAUGAAGUAAUAGGAGAAACUUCUCUACCAAGAGUGCUGCACAAUGUUGUAUUGAUUAGCUUAACCAAAAAACUUCUGCUAUAAGACACAAUACCUUUUGCCACCGAGGAGCAAGAAAUUCAUUCAAAGAGAGCCCUAUCUCCCCAUAUGUAACAGGAGAAAUCCAAAAGCCCCACUUCAACCACACUGGCAUCGAGGCUGCAACCAACAAUCACCAUAAGUUUAACAGGCUGAUCUGAUGAUUCUAAAAUCAAAUUAGAGAAGGUAUAAAUUGAUUACGUUUCGAGAUAACGAAACCCCCAAACAAUAACACCAACAGUAUCGCAAAACUUCCGGCAGUCAUAGCAGCAACCACAGUUUGGAAGACUGAUGCCACAAAUCGGAACAUAGAUAUUGAUGUAAAGUGCACAGCAAAAAGCAGAAUGAAUUGGCGAAAGAACCUAAAAGACAUGAACUAUUCUUUAUGAGAGGUUUGUAUAACGGGAUUUAGUGCGCCAAUAAACACAAAGCUUUCCGCCUUCUCAAAUGAAACUCACCUCCAGACCUCUGGGCUGUAUCCAAUGACAUAAUAAGUAAGACAUGUCCAAGCCAGAGCUUCAACUAAAGAAAGAGGAACUUUCAAAAUAGUGGCUGGAAUCGCAUACGCCCAAGCUGGGUAAAAGCACAACUCUUUCUGUUUAUAGAAAACAGCAAGUCUUUGAAUCGUCAUAGACAACUCAGGAAUGCCAUCAACAAGGAGAAUGACGAGUGCAAAGUACAAGGAACCCAUGUAGUAAUUUGCAUCGAAAACAUCAAUGUCCAUCCGAGUCCGCAGAAAAACAGUCAUAGCCAUUACUGCAACAAUAAUAAGCUGCAACAAAAAGAUUGUCCACAUAUUUCAAUUUUCUCAGGCCCUUCAAUCUAAGAAAGAAAAAAUAAGCAGAAAUCAAAAAAAGGGGAGAAACAGAGAACAACUGGAUAAAGGAUGUAAAACUAAAAAUGAUAACCUGAGUUGUUUUGAAAAUAUAGAGAAAUGAAUUUCUCCUCAUGAGAAGAAGUUCCCUUGACAUGCAAGCCUUGAAUAGAUCCCAUCUAGAAAGAGAAUAUACACUAAAGGAAAUUGCAUUCUUGUGGCUUUUUGAUUUAUCAUAUGGCACUAAAAGUUCCUCAUCAAGCUUUUUAACAAGAGGAGAUUCCUUGAAUUUCAUAGAGAACAUGUCUACUGAAAAGUAACUGUAGGGAAGUUCAGUAUGGAGCCAGUAUUGUGCCUGAUCUUUUCUGGACAAAACCUGAAAAAGCAGCAGAUCAAAUUAUGAAAGUACUAAAAUUUCAGCAUGAAAAUGAGAACAUUUUAAGCUGCAAUGCACUUACCUCCUGCAGGAAGUCAGCAACCCCUUUCCUUUUAGGACACCUAAAGCCACAAUCCUCAAAAAAAUCUAGGACAUGGUCCCGGGGUCCAUGAUACACAAUCUUUCCUUCGGCCAUUAAAAUGAUGUCAUCAAAGAGAUCAAAGGUCUCUGGUGCUGAUUGAAGAAGUGAAAUCAAUGCAGUAGAAUCUGUUAUAUGCACCAGCUGCUGAAUACAAGCAAUGAUCUGAUAUGCCGUGGAACUAUCUAAACCAUUUGUUAUUUCAUCCAUAAAUAGUGCCUUUGUUGGUCCGACAAUCAUCUCUCCUACAGAUUCAAUGGAAAAUUGAACCUUAUUAGCUCAUCAAUGCUGAUUAUAGCUCUUUAAGUUAAUAUAGAAAUUGUAUCCCAAGUGGAUGAUAAUCUGUUGAACCUGUAGUAAGCCUCUUCUUCUGACCUCCAGAGAUGCCUCUUCUCAUGGCAUCUCCUACCAUUGUGUCAGCACAGACAUCAAGUCCAAGGAUCUGAAAAGGCGCAGCGACUAUGUACAGACGAACUAAUAAAGCAUUUGCAUAGAUACAGAUCAAUUAGGGCUCGGAAAAAGAGAAUUACUUUCAAUAUAUAAUCUGUUCGAAGGGUUCUUUUUACUCCUUUGGCAGAAAUUGCCUGUUACAAAAAAAUGGUUAAGAACACUUUAAUGAUUACAUCAAAUGGCACACACAACUAUAUUGUACAGAAAAAGAUCUUUACAACUGAUGCAUUCAAUGCCGGAUAUAAUUUUUAUAAUUUGGCUAUACCAACUGGAUUCGAAAAAUGGACCAAAAAUACUCCAAGAUGUAAAAGACCUUCAUGUAGGUGUCUAUAUCUGGAUCGGGAAUAAUCCCUGAUUCCUUCUCCCUUCUGCUGACCUCCAUCAUAAUCUCUGCAUGGGCAAAACAUACAUAUUAAUUUAGUUAUCAUUAUUUUUAGCGCCCGUAAGGUGGGUAAACGUACAAUCACAUACCUUCUCGGCUUCCAACCCCCUGACAACGGGCAGAAAAGUCAACAGUUUCCCUCACAGUCAUUUCAGCUAUGUGAAGGUCAUUUUGGCUUAUAUAAGCUGAAGUUUUCUGGGGGACAAACUCUUCUAGCUUGUAUCCAUUAUAGGAAACUUCCCCAGUGACCUUUUGGAGAAAAGAAAAAGAUAUUACAAGCCACACAUAAGACAGAGUGACAUGGAAUUUCCUAAAUCCUAAUAAUCAAAAUCUGCUGCAGUAUUAUCUUGAGCUUUUCUUCUAUAUCAUAGUUUUCUGGAGAUACAAAUUUUAAGUUACAAAUUCAAGCUGGUUCGCAUUUCAUCUACACUAGAUUAUCAGAGGUAAAAGAGCAUGAUAAAGCAUGAAGAAAGAUUGGAACCUUGAGAGAUGGAUCAAGAUUUCCUGAGAGAGCCUUUAAAAGGGAGCUCUUCCCGCAUCCUGGGGGCCCAAGCAGAAGAGUCAUCCUGCAUUAAAUUCAAACUUAUUUUUACUACUGCCAAAAGGCUUGAAAUUUCCCUGGAAAUUUGCUUCCAGAAAGCAGACUUUAUUUAUAAUUUUUGAAGUCAAGCCCCCACCCCCCCAAAAAAAAAAGGUUUAUGCUGUUAGAAAGAAUCAGGAAAUGAAACUGUUCUAAAGCAUACAUCAUCCUGAAUAUAGGCACACAAAAAUUGAUAGGCAUAACAAAUGAUUAGCCGAGCAAAAUCCACAAAUUACCACAUGACUUCAGCAGAAACAAUUCUGGAGUAAUGAAUUAGCUACUCUGCUAAAAUAAUGCACAGCUAUCAGAUAUUAUAUAGCUUCCAUAAGUAGGAUACAUAAACAAAUUCUUACAAGCAAGGUAAAUGCAUGCAAACACCAAAGCACAAGAAGAAAUAGAACUUGAAAUACAUCAAGAGGAUGUAAAAAGGUUAAACAAUCAGCAAGGUUGACACUAAAAGGAUUUUGGUUUAAUGAAUUGAGUUGAGUAGAAUGAUAAAUUCUCUGAGUGUACCUUCCAGGCUUCAAGAUGCCACUAACACGAUUAAGAAUGUUUAUCUUCGCUUCAAGUGACUUGUAUCCUGAAAGCUUUGGCAAGACCUGUAAAGCAAGUUUCAACUGGUAUCAAAUCAUUUCUAAGACUGGUAAGCUACAAAUAAAAAAGACCCUUUAUGUGGACUCAAUACUCUCAGUCUGAUUUAUAUAGCAAAACCAGACCAGAAAUAUAUUAUAUACAAACCUUAAAUAAAGACCGAAAAUUCUGGUAUGUAUUUUCUGAAAGAUGAAGAAACUUACAGAAAUCAUGCCUUUAAAAGAAUUCCAUAGAGUUGGGAGUGGCUUUCCAUGAACAACUUCACACUUGGCUUCCACCCACAAAUUUUUAUAUCUCACCUCUAUAGUGGGCAAUUUAACGCCAACUCUGCAGAAUUGAAUUCAGGUUAUCCAACAAAAUGAUGCAUUUAUGCCGUUGCAGACACAAGAAGAGAAAUGUAGGCACCAAACCAACUUUGAAUUGGAAAGUAAAAUGAAGAUAUAUGUGGAGUACUCUCGCUUAUGAUGUGACUCAGUAAUGUAAGAUGAUUCUUCGAAUCUAUGUCUCUGCAUACUUUUGCAAAUUCAUGUAGAAAGAUUCAUACACAUAAUUAGUUAUAAAAGGCUUACUUGUCCAUUCUUUUUCUGAUUUUCCGCAACAACUGAAGAUUGUCAUGCUCAAUGUGUUUGAUAAGCUUCUCAAUGAAUACAUGCCGUUCAAGUGCUCCAAGCUUGGUAACAUUAAUCGCCUGUUUUCCUUGAUUAUCAACCAAGUCUUUAUUGCUGUUUACAUCAAACAAAGAUGUUUUCAACCGGUCAUAAGUAGGUAAUCUCUCAAUUUCAGCCCACUGCAAGGCAUUUUCAACAUCAGUAUCUUCCCUCCUUGAGCUUAUUGCAGAGCUACUUCUGAAACUUGAUGUCUGAAGCCUGAAUGAUGAUCUUAGGCUUCUUCCUAUCUCAGCCAACUCAAUUCCCACCGACUCUAUCUCAUCAGUACCAAUCAUCUGAGCCAUGUUUACAGAUUUGGAAGCCUCAAAAUUUAAAAACUAAAAGACUGGGGGGAGAUUUUUAUAUAUACAUUUGUAAGCUUAUGCUUAAAACACAUUAUGAGAUUCAGCAAGGCUAUGCAUUAUUCAUAUACUUAGUAUACAAGGAAGUUGAAAAUUUAAUUGAAGACAAAAGCAUUACGGCUCCACAAGUGACAAGAGAAUCUAGGGAGUCACACACAAAUUUGAACAUCUAAAGUGAGAGUAUGUGACAAAAGAAAGUGACAUGUUACAAUUGUUGAUCAAUCUCAAUCCAAAGAUUAAAUAAAAAUUCCACAGGUAUAAUUUCAACUUACAGUGCAGUUAGUGACUUUAUUAUUCAUUCAAUACAUACCUCCAAUAAAAUAAGCUAAGGUCAACGUUCAUUAUUAAAUAUAUGUCAAGUAUUAAGGCCUUUGUUUUAUUCAUGUUUUAUUUAUUUAUACACCUGUCCAUCCUCAGGUCAAACACGUAACUUUUUACUUUCCUGCACAGCAACAUACAUAGCUGCAGAGUCUCUUUGUUGUUGAAAGGGAUUAAGAUAGAAAAACAUAUGAGCACAAAUUAUCGGGGACAAUCUCCAAGUUCAAAGGAAGAAAUUAAUGGCAAUGAAAUAAUCAUGAUACGAGAUAUGAUUCUUAUAAACACAACCCAGAAGCAUGCAUAAGUUUAAUAAUUUAUACACAUCAAUCUACGCUAUGCUUCAAACUGAAGAAACCAGGGGCACCAUUUUUCAGUUUCUGAUAACACUUUGGAAACAGUUUAUGAUAUAACCAUUGUUUUGGACUCAAAUCUGAUAUUCAUAAUCGCAAUAGUUCCAAUCUUGCCCAUCCCUAGAAGAUCAAAGUCAACAAUAAUCUGCAAUAAAUAAUUCUGUUUCAUUGGUCUCAAAAACAGAAAUUAAAAAAAAUAAAUAAAAAAAAUCAAACAAGUAGGAUCACAAGCCGAAGUCAGAUACAACGUAACAGCAGAAAUUGCUCGAACAAAUCUGCUACAAAUAUAUUAAAACUAGAGCAGUUGUCGUCAUUGCUAUUUACAGAAUUAGAAGUAUGCUUAAUUGACAAGAUUCCUUUGUACAUGCAUGUCAUAACAAGAUAAUUUAAUCAAGCAUGAUAAAUGCCUUGACAUCCAAGAAAUUUAAAUAAGAGCAGUUGUCGUCAUUGCUGAUUACAGAAUUAGAAGUAUGCUUAAUUGACAAGAUUCCUUUGUAAUAAGUAGUUAUUUUAUAAUAAUGCUUAAAAGGAGAAUUAUUAUAAAAUAACGGGGAGUUAAAGGAAUUUAGACGGUAGCACUAAGUGUAUAAAAUACUUCUUGCAUUAUCUCACUAAAAUUCAAUUUGACGCAAUGGCAAGGGCGUCCACUCUGUUAGGAAAUUGGUGGGUGGAGCAGACACGCAGAUAAAAUAAAAUUGGAAAAAAAUAAAGAACAAACACAAUAGAGGACUCCAAAAAUUACAUAGUUCGGCUUUUAGCCUACGUCCACGGGCGAAGACAAAAAGAAAUAUUUUACUAAUGAAAAUGAGUUACAAGUAUUGUAGUAUUUUAGCUCACUUCCCCAAAAAAACCCAAUACACCCAAACUCUCAAAUCACUAGACUCUUAAAAUCACUCUCUAAAUAAAGAAAAGAACUGAAGAACUCAAUGAUUUACAAAUGAAGGGAACCAGCAUUUUAUAGCCAAAAUUGGCUACUGUUCAUUUAAUAUUUAAUUAUUAUUAUUAAUUUUUUCUUUUCUUUUCCUUCUUCGGCCCGGCAUCUCUUUUUCUUCUCUCUUUCUUCUUUUUCCUUACUUUCUUUGGGCGGCACCAAAUUUUUCUUCUUUUGUUUUCUUUGAUUCAAAGAAUGCAGCAACAACCGCAUUCUUCUUCAAAAUGGUGGGCACCACCUUCUAGAAAAGGUGAUGCUAUUUUCCACAUUCUCCCACUUGGAGAUUAGAUUGAUGACCAAUCAAUCUCCACACCAUCCUUUCUGCUUUGCCAUCAUUAUAUUGUCUACGUUUCUGCUAGGCCACAAGAGGAUCUACUCCAGACAAAUUUAUCAGUAUUUAUCGGCUUGGUCAAAACAUCUGUUAGGUUCUCCUUCGUACAAAUUUUCUGUAAAUCUACACUUCCAUCUUCCACUACUUCUCGAACGAAGUGAUACUGAACUCUUAUGUGCUUUGUCCUGGAAUGAAAGAUUGGAUUCCUUGUAAUGUGCAAGGCACUUUGACUGUCACAAAAUAGGAAUUUUCUGUUGUUUGUGUUCGAGCUCCUCCAAUAACCUUUGUAUCCAAAUAGAUUCCUUGCAAGCUUGUGUAGCUGCCAUGUAUUAUGCUUCUGUUGUAGAUAAAGCCGCAACGGUCUGCAGUUUCGAAACCCAGUUUACAGCUGCUCCUGCAAGUGUAAACACAUAACCAGUUGUGGAUUUCCUUUGAUCAAGGUCUCCUGCAAAAUCUGAAUCCACAUAGCCUCUGACAGUAAACUCUGAUCCUCCAUAACAUAAUGCAACAUCUGAGGUUCCUCUGAUGUAUCUCAGAAUCCUCUUCACAGCUAUCCAAUGCUCUCCACCAGGAUUCGCUAUGUAUCAACUUACUGCUCUCACUGCUUGUGCAAUGUCCGGUCUUGUACAUAUCAUAGCGAACAUCAAACUUCCCACUGCUGAUGCACGAUACUCGAGACAUCUCCUUCCUCUCUGCUUCAUUGCUAGGACACAUAUUUGAGGAUAAUUUGAAAUUAACAGGAAGUGGGGUAGAAAUUGACUUACAAUCUUGCAUGUUGAAGCGCCGCAAGAUUUUCUUCAAGUAAUUCUUCUGUGAAAGCCAAAUCUUCCUGUUAUUUCUGUCUCGGUGAAUUUGCAUCCCUAGAAUCUUGUUUGCUGGUCCCAAGUCCUUCAUUUCAAACUCUCUAGCCAAUUGUACCUUUAAUUCUUGGACUUGAUCUUUGUUGGGGCCUGCUACCAACAUGUCAUCCACGUACAACAGUAAAAUGAUGAAAUCAUUAUCUUCAAACCUCUUGUAAUAUGCACAAUGGUCUUAACUGAGUCUGUUGUAUUCAAGACUCAUAAUGAAGGAAUCAAAUCUCUUAUACCAACACCUCGGUGCCUGUUUGAGACCAUAUAGAGAUUUGUUUAACCUGCAAACCAAGUUCUCCUUUUCUGUUUCUGCAAAACCUUCUGGUUGGAGCAUAUAUAUUUCUUCUUCAAGUUCUCCAUAAAGAAAUGCAGUUUUCACAUCUAACUGCUCUAGAUGUAAGUCAAAUAUAGCACACAUUGCCAAGACUACUCUGACUGUUGUGAGUCGAACCACCAGAGAAAAUAUCUUGUUGAAGUCAAUACCUUCUUUCUAAGCAUAUCCUUUCACCACCAAUCUCGCACGAUACCGCUCCACUUGGUCAUUACCAUUACGUUUGAUCUUGUAGACCCAUUUGUUACCAAUGGCUUUUCUUCUACAUGGUAGUGGUACAAGUUCCCAUGUCUUGUUCUUGUGUAGAGCUUCAAUUUCUUCCUGCAUUGCCGUCAUCCACAAAGCAACAUCUAAGCUUUCUAAAGAUUCAUGGAAAGUUGAUGGCUUUCCAUCCUCUGUUAGAAGACAGUACGCAACGUUGAUCUCUGUAACAUACUCCGAGUGCCACGCUGGCGGUCGUCUCUCACAAGUUGACCGACGAACUUCUGGAGCCUCAGACUCGACUGGUUCUUGUUCCUCGUGCUCUGGUGCUGCUUCAGAAGAAUCUGAAUCUUCUAGAUUAUUUUCCACAUAUACUGGCACAGUCUCUGACUUUUCUUUUACAGUGUCAUCACCUCCAUCUUUCAUUUGCAGUUGAUCUUCUACAAAAAUAACAUCUCUGCUGAUGACGAUCUUGUGGGCAAUGUGGUCCCAUAGACGAUACCCCUUUACACCAUCAGCAUAUCCUAAGAAGAUACAUUUUCUAGAUUUUGCAUCCAGCUUUGUUCUUUCUUGGGCAUUGUAUAUCACGUACGCAGGACAUUCAAAUGCAUAUAGGUAGGAAUUAUCAGCUGGUUUUCCAGUCCACAUCUCCAUCACUGUCUUCAGCCCAAUAGCUGUAAAUGGCGAUCGAUUUACUAUAUAACAGGCAGUUUUGGCUGCUUCUACCCAGAAUGAAUUGGGUAGACCAGCCGUCCACAACAUAGCUCUUAUCCGUUCUGUAAGAGUUCUAUUCAUCUGCUCUGCCACUCCAUUUUGUUGAGGAGUGUAUGCCACCGUGAACUGCCUUUGAAUACAUUCUUGCUUACAGAAAGCAAGAAACUCACCGUCUGUAUACUCUCCACCAUUAUUUGUCCUUAAGCACUUGAUCUUUUUACCAGAUUCAAGUUCCACCCGCGCUUUGUAUUCUUUAAACACUGGAAAUACAUCUGACUUUUUCUUAAAUGGAUACACCCAACAUCUUCUGGAAUAAUUAUCAAUGAAAGUCACCAUGUACUUUGCACCUCCCAUGAAUAUCCGGUGAUUCCCAAACAUCAGAAUGAAUCAAGUCUAGAAUGCAUUUACUUCUACAAAUAGAUCUACUAAAUUUUAAUCUAUGCUGGUUACUUAUAACACAAUGCUCGCAAAAUAGUAAACUUACCGAUUUGAGCCCCGGAAGCAAUUUUUGCUCAGAGAGAAUCUUCAAACUUUGUUUUGACAUGUGACCAAGUUUAAAGUGCCACAUCAUCGUUGAUUCUUCUCCAUUUGACGCGACACACACAUCAGCCUCCUGUAGUGUUUCUCCUUUAAGCAUGAAUAGAUUAGCACUGAUCUUUUCCGUCUUCAUCAAUACAAGCGCGCCUUUAACAAUCUUCAUAGUUUCAUUCUCCACAUGAGUUUUGUACCUAUGACUAUCCAUUUGUCCCAAAGAUAAAAGAUUUUUCUUCAGGCCAUUGACAUGUCGUACCUCUCCAAUUGUGCGAAUUGUACCAUCAAACAUUUUUAUUUCGAUAGUACCAAUACCAGCGAUCUCCAAGGUAUGAUCAUCUCCCAUGUAAUAUCCCAAAUCUCCUAAGGGUAUUUAAGUCUUUUUAAUUUUUAAUUAUCCUUUUUACCCUAGUAUAAAUAGAACAAGAUGUCUUUUUCAUUAUAAGAGAGAGAAAAAGAAGGAUCGGUUGCAAAAAAAAAAAAAAGAGAGAGAUGGAGAGACAAGAGAGAAAAGAAAAGGAAAAAGAGAAGAAGAAAGUCUUCUUCUUCUUCUUAGUUUUUGCCAUAGACAACACAUGAGAUCAAGUUGUUAUUGUUGGGAGAAGUUUUGGAGGUAAGUUUUAAUCUUGGUUUUCAUUAAAUUGUUGUGGAGAAGCAUGAUUGCAAUAGAAGUAGAAACCUAUGAUUUUACAGAAAUAUGCUGACAGUGAAUUAUUACGAAAAUCAUAGUACUUCGUAUAAAUUGAUUUUGAUUCUGAUUUUUGGGUAUGUUAAACUAGACAUCGUCUAGAAUGUUUUGAAACUUUUUUCAAGUUAAUCGGAUAAGAUUUCAAUUAAUUAUGAUUUUUCAAAUUCAAGUAUGAAAACUUGGAAAUUUAUGAUUUCAGUGAAUAACGUGAAUUACGAAAUUAUUUUUACCAUAGUUAGACUUCUUCAGAAAUUAUGAAAUUUGAACCAAUGAUUUUUAUAUAUGUCUAGUAUGAUUCUGGAAAUUUUCAUGAUUUUAUGAUAAAGAAAUAAAUUCUUUUGUAUUUUUAAAGCAAGAGUGUUCAAAACAGAAAAUUGUUUGACAGUAUUGAUGAUGUCUGAAACGUGAAUUAUUUUCAAUCGUUUUGGAAGGAAUUAUGUUAUGAAAUUUUUAUCAAUGAACUUUCAACAUGUCAGCAUAUGGUCUGUAAAAUUUGAAAUUCUUCCAAUAAGAGAAUAAUUUAUUAAAAAUCGGAGAAGUAUGGACUGUUAUGUUUUGAGGGCCGAUUAUUGAGGACAUUUGAGGUUGAGCUUAGGAGUUGUUUAAAUUGAGAUAUUUGAGGACAUUAGAGUUUAUUAUUGAGAUUUGAUUAUAUCUUAUGAGAAUUUAUUGAUGAUUUUAGGUUGAUGGUAUCAGUAUGCAUUUGUUACAUGAGGAUGCCAAGAGGUGAGUAAACUAGACUUUAAAAGGAAUACACUAAACAAUAUAUAUGUUUGACUUGUGUGAAAAAAAACUAUUUUGAUAUGUACGAAUAUGGAUUUAUAUGUCUCUGCUCAUGUGUUUAUGUGAUGUGUUGUUAUGUAAGGGGUGUGAUUAUGUACAUGGGCAUAUGUAUGUGUGAUGGUUCAUUGGCAUGAGCGCGAAAAUGCAUUGAGUUUUCUAUGAAUGAGAAAGUGGAUUUUAGCAAACGGAAUUUCUGUUUUAUGAGAUUUUGCAUUGGGGGCCACCUCUUGAAGUUGUGUGGGGGCCACCUCUUGGGACUAUGCGGGGGCCACCUCUUGAGGGCCAAAGCGCCGCAAAGUGCCACGCACAGUACAAAUUGCCACAAUUGCAGAAUAUGUAUUUCAUCGAAAGAAAAUGAAAAAGUUUGAAAGCGACAGGAAGAGACUUUUAUGAAAUUAUUUUACAGUAUUUCUAAAAGAUCAUGACAUAUCAUCCAUCUGCGUUAUGUAUAAGUAUGUAUAUACUUUCGUAUAAGAAAAACUGGUUUACUUACUGAGUUUUAUACUCAUUAUAGUUUAUUGUGAUUCAGUUUUCAGAAGUCAGGAUUGACUCGUGAUGAGUGACAAGUUGAAGAUGGUAGAUGGUUUGGCUAAAUUUUGAAGUUAUUCCGCUGGCUUUUGUAUUUGAGGCUCAAAUUUUUAUUGUUUGUAGAGAGUUAUUUAAAUCAUAUGUGAGUUGUGGUCAUAUUUGCCCUUAGAUUUCGGAUUGGGGUGUUACAUCCCAUAUAUACAGAUCCUCCUGAGAUAAGUUCAUAUGUGUGGAACCAUUCUCUCCGAGAAGUCAUGUGCCAGGUAGCUCCUGAGUUUAUAAGCCAGACAUCAGAUAGUCGUUUUCUGCCUUCUGAAACAGUUGUUGCCUCGCUAUAGAGAAUUUCGCCAUCAUCCGAGGUACUUGCUACACACCCUUGAGCAUUUGAUGACUCAGGUUCUUUGCCCUCUUUUCUCUUCUGAUUAUUCCAACACUCUUUCUUGACGUGCCCUUUCUUACCAUAGUUGUAGCAUUUAACAUUCUUCUUACUUCUGGAUUUUAAUCUACCAUGAUUUUGACUCCCACUGAGGCCACGUUCCGUUGAUCUCCCUCUCGUCACUGAUAGCGCCUCCGCUUGCUGCGAACUUGCUUGUCUGUUUUCCUUAUUUUUCCGCCUACUCUCCUCAUUUAAUACGGAGGCUGUAACAUCGUUGAAAACUAGACUAUCCACUGGAUUAUUGUUCGUCAGGUUAAUGAUGAGCUGAUCAUACGAAUCUGGUAGACUUUAAAGUAGAAGCUCUGCACGUUCAUUUUCCUCUAAAUUAUGACCCAACGUUGUGAGUUGUGAAAAUAGAGUCUUCAAGGUGUUGAUAUGGUCGGUCACCAUUGUAGAUUCUGCUAUUCGAAGAAUAUAGAGUUCUUCUUCAAGAAGAUUUUGUUGUGUAGUGACUUGGCCUCGUACAAUUUUGUGAGAGUAUUGUGAGAGUAUCCCAUAUUUCCUUCGUUGUAUUUUUCUUUGCCAUACUGGAUAAUACUCUGUCUGCAAGUGCCAAGUGUAGAUCAGAAAUGGCGUUGCCAUCUAUCUCGUUCCACUUGUCAUCAGUUAUCUCCAUGGGCUUUUCUCCAAUUACGGCCAAUCAAUUAUUUUUUCUCAAUACAACUUUCAUCUUCAUUUUCCACAACGAAAAAUUAUUUCCAUUAAAUUUCUCAAUUUCAUACUUUGCCGUCAUUUUGUUGAUAAAUACUGCACACAAACUAGUAUAUCACCUUGAAUAAUUGUGAGUAUGUGUGAGAAUGCACACCAAGAAAGUUCCUAGGAAAGACUGGAGGGGUCACAAUGGUCUCACUUAAAAUCCAGACGCCUUAAUGUCACAGGAUGAGUAUUUUGCGCAGCUAACCUGUGUGGCACUUAGACAACUUUGCCAAAUGUUGCUAAGUAAGCCUAGAGCUUCUCGAACUAGAGAAGAAAGCAAUGGAGCCGAAUAAAAGAACUUGUAUUGCACCAAGAGAGAUUACAAUGCUUGUUGUAGUGUUUGUUGAAUCCAAAUGCCUAAUGCCAUCCCAUAUUUAUAGGGGAGGCUUGCCAAGCUCUAGAGAUUCUAGAGAAUUCUACAAUUUCCUAGCUAUUUACAUGUGCUGGAAUUGUAUAGAGAAUUCUAGAGUAUUUACAAGCUCAAUGUGCUAGAGUUGCCUAGAACUUUCCGGAAUUGGGCCAAGCUAGCACUCUUGGCCUUGUGUUGGCUCUCUAGCCCGAAAUUAUGGGCAAUUGGGCAAGCGAAUUGGGCGGUCCGCAACAUCCUCCCCCACCUAAGCUCGCGGCGUCCUCGUCGCGCUCUCGUGCUUGAAAUUCUGGAUGUGUUCAGUGAAUUGCCACAAAUCCUCUUCACGUUCCCAAGUGACUUCGCUCUCGGGGAGGUUUUUCCACUUCACCAAGUACUCGCUAUGUGCUGGUACGCCUCUCCUCGAAACCACGCGGUCCGCAAUGAUGUAGUCCACAUCUUUGUCGAACGCGGUGACAACGGCGGUUGGCACGCGCCUCGAUUCUCCGCGACUUGGGUCACCCAUGUCUUCGUGAUAUGGCUUAAGAAGGCUCACACGGAAGACCGAAUGGAUCUUGAGUCUUGGCGGAAGUUGGAGUUGAUACGAGACGUUGCCUACACGUCGAACAACUCGGAAGGGUCCCUCGUAGCGCCUCACUAACCCAUUGUGGACUUUCCGCAACGUCUUGAAUUGUUGGGGUAGGAGCUUGAUCAUGACUUGAUCACCUUCCUUGUACUCAACAUGUCGUCUCCUUAUAUCCGCCCAUUUCUUCAUUUUCCUCGCGGCUUUGUCGAGAUAGGCUCCCGUAAUGUCCGCUUCCUCAUGCCAUUCGCGGGCGAGCUUGUGUGCCGCAGGACUUUUUCCUCCGUAAGUCGAGGCUAUGGCAUUGGGGGUCAUGGGUUGGAAUCCCAUGAUGAUCUUGAACGGACUCUUGCCCAUAGCCUCACUUCGCUGCAAGUUAUAAGAAAAUUGGGCGAUGUCGAGUAGCUUCACCCAAUCCUGCUGAUGAGCAUUCACAUAAUGCCUCAAGUACAUUUCGAGGAGGCCAUUAAUGCGCUCGGUCUGCCCAUCCGUUUGUGGGUGGAAGCUUGUCGAGAACUUGAGAUUGGUCCCCAACAUCUUGAAGAGCUCCGUCCAAAAACGCCCAGUGAACCGAGGGUCUCGAUCGCUCACAAUGCUCUUUGGAACUCCCCAAAGCUUUACAACGUCCUUGACGAAUAGGCGGGCUGCCUCGUCUGCUUUACAAUCGAUUGGUGCGGCAAUGAAUGUGGCGUACUUAUUGUAUCAGUCGACAACAACCAUGAUACUUCCGCACCCUUCGGACUUGGGCAGCGAUGUGAUGAAGUCCAUGGAGACACUUUCCCAUGGCCUUGUUGCUAAGGGUAGCGGCUCCAACAAUCCUGCUGGGAGUUGAUGAUCCACCUUGUCUUGUUGGCACACAAGACAAGUUCGCACAUAUGCCUCGAUAUCGUCCCUCAUGUGCGGCCAAAAGUACAAAGCUUGAACUAGUGCGGUGGCGCUCGAUUCCUGGGUGACCAGCCCACUUGGAGUCAUGGUACUCCUUGAUUACUUCCUUCCAUAAAUUUUCCCACCUUGGCACGAACAGUCGGUCUCCCUUGGUGAGGAGGAUGCCUUCCUCUUGCCAAAAUCGCCUCGUCUUGCCUUCGAGCACCUUCUCCAGCAAGUCCUUUGCUAGUGGAUCUUGUUGAAGGCCUUCCUUGAUGCGUGAGACAAGGUCGGACUUCGGUUGGCUCAUGCUAAGUGUCACCAAUUCAGCCUUGCAGCUUAGAGCAUCCGCAAUGACAUUGGCUUUCCCCGGUUUGUACUCGAGCCGAUAGUCGAAUUCCGCAAAGAAAUCUUGCCACCGUGCUUGCUUCGGACUCAACUUCUUUUGUGUUGGAAAGUAGCUUGUCGCCACGUUGUCCAUCAUAAUCAUGAAGUGAGAGCCUAGCAAGUAAUGUCGCCACACUCGCAAGCAAUGUAUAAUUGCGGUCAUCUCCUUCUCUUGCACCGUGUAGCGGCGUUCCGUAUCGUUUAGCUUUCGACUCUCGAACGCUAUGGGGUGGCCUUCUUGCAUGAGGACUCCUCCUAUAGCGAAAUUCGAGGCAUCCGUUUGUACUAAGGGCUUUGUGUGGUUCGGAAGAGCAAGGACGGGUUCCUCCGAAAUUGCUCUUUUUAACUCCUCGAAUGCGCGUUGGCACUCUUCGGACCAAUGCCACGUUCUGUUUUUCUUGAGCAUAUCUGUCAAGGGUGCCGCCUUGGCUGAGUAGCCCUUGAUGAAGCGACGGUAGUAAUUCACCAACCCAAGGAAUGAGCGAAGCUCGGGCACUUUCGAGGGAGGCUCCCAUUCGAGGAUGGCCUUUACUUUGGCAUUCUCCAUCAUAAUCUUCCCGCCCGCAAUCUGGUGGCCAAGGAACUCCACCUCUUGUUGGGCAAAUGAGCACUUCUCCAAUUUGAGGAAGAGCUCGUUGUCCCGAAGUACUUGGAUGACUUGUCACAAAUGUUGGGCAUGCUCCUCGAGUGUGGUGUUAUACACCACGAUGUCAUCCAAGUACACAACCACGAAGCGGUCGAGAAAUGGUUGGAGUAACUUGUUCAUGAGUGUGCAAAAUGUGGCGGGUGCAUUAGUAAGGCCAAAAGGCAUCACAAGGAAUUCGAAAGACCCGUACCUUGUAGUGCACGCUGUCUUUGGUUCGUCUCCCUUAGCGAUGCGCACUUGGUAGUAUCCGGAGCGCAAGUCAAGUUUGGUGAAGUACCGCACUUUGCCAAGCUGGUCGAACAAGUCCGCAAUCAAGUGAAUCAGAUACUUGUUCUUGAUGGUGAUCUUGUUGAGCGCUCUAUAGUCGAUGCACAUCCGCAGUGAUCCAUCCUUUUUCUUUUGGAAGAGGAUCGGUUUACCGAACGAAGCCUUUGAAGGGCGAAUGUAGCCUGCAUACAGCAAGUCUUUGAGUUGUCUCCGCAACUCCUCAAGUUCGGGUGGCGCCAUGCGGUAGGGCGCCAAGGCUGGUGGCUUUGCGCCUUGUUCCAGUUCAAUCGCAUGAUCUACCUCUCGUCAAAGUGGGAGCUUCUUCGGAAGUUCCGAAGGCAUCACGUUCUUGUAUUCAUUGAGGACGGCUUGAAUUUGUGGAAGGACUUGGCUUGGCGACGUUCCGCUAUUUCCUUCUUCGUUUAGUCCCCAAAUGGAGACCAAGAAGCUUGGGUCCUUCUUGAAAGCCCUUUUGAAUUGCAUGGCGGAGAGUGUCUUCUCCUCGGACUUGCCUCGCUCCGUGGGUACCAUGCAUGCUUUGCUCCCGUCGAGGAUGCUUAGGGAGUUUGUAGCGAGCAGCGGGAAGGCAUGGACUUAAUUGAAGAAUUCCAUGCCGAGGACCAUCUUGAAGUCGUCUAUGGGAACGAUGGAGAAAUCAAGCUUUCCGCUCCAUGUUCCAAGCAUAAUGUGCACGCCUUGUGCGAUUCCCACAAUUGACUUGGCGGGUGAGUUUACUGCCUUCAUUGUGCCUCCUUCCUUGGUGGCCUUGAGGCCUAAGCGCUUAGCCUCGUCUAUGGACACGAAAUUGUGCGUCGCUCCUGUAUCUAGCAACGCGCGAAUGGACUGGCCGUUUAUCUUCGCGCUUACAUACAUGAGCCCUUUCUUUACGAGUGCGGGCUGUUGGCGGUUGAGUGCACCAAGACGUUGGAGAGAACCCAUGCUGAGUUGGGGUUCUUCUGUGGACAUUGUGGGGUUGCUCUUAAGUUGGGCUGCGAGAGUAUUGAGCGACUUCUUCUUCGGACAGUCGCGUACCCAAUAAGGACCAUUGCAUAUGAAGCAUGGGCUUCGCGGCUUUGGCGCGUCCUUCUUGCCCUCUAAUUUUCCUUGCCCGCUCUUGUUGCUAGGCGGCUUUUUCUGCCCCCAAUCUUUGCGGUUGUUGCUCUUGUCCUUGCGACUCUCUCCCCCACCUUUGCCUUGGUUGGUCUUUUUCUCCUUAGAUUGGGUAGAGUAUUCGGUGAGCGAUUCUGCAAUGGCGAUGGCGUCGUCAAGUGUUUGAACACCACGCCUAUCAAGCUCGGUCUUGGCCCAAUCCUUGAGGCCAUCUUGGAAGUAGAAGAGCGAAUCCUUGUCGGACAUGUCGCUUAUCUCCAGCAUAAGGGUAGUAACUCAUUGAUGUAGUCUCGAAUGCUACCCGAUUGCUUGAGGUGACGUAAGCGUGCUCGCGCUUCCUUUUCCGCAUUGUUUGGGGCGAACUGCUUUCGGAGUUCUUGCUUGAAGUCAGCCCAAGUGUCGAUGGUGCAAAUGCCCUUGCCCAUCUCGCCCUGCUUGCGACGCUACCAUAGUUGUGCAGCGCCUCUAAGAUAGGUGGUUGCAGUGCCCACUUUCGAUGCAUCGUCUCGGACACCCAUGGCAUCGAAGUAUUUAUCAAGCCCAAAGAGGAAAUUGUCCACGACUGUGGCGUUGCGUGUGCCAUCGUAAGUGUCGGGCUUCGGCACGUCAAUGCGGCGCGCAUCGCUCGAGCUUGCGGAAGCUGGACUUGCGGAGAGUGUACGCUUGUGCCAUGCCCAAUCUGAGCGGACUUCAUCCACUUCCGCACGGACAGCAUGUAGUUCGUCCUGAACAAAACUACGAAGUUUAAGCAACUCAUCAUGGAAAGAACGAAACUCACCUCGAAGAGUGUUCGCUUGCUCUUGGAUGAGAGCUUUCGUUGCCACCGUGAACUCGGCAUAUUCUCCCUCGAGACCGUCCACUCGUUCCUCCAAUCCCUCGAGGCUUUCUUGAGCGGCGGAUAACGCAAUUUCGAGAGUAGUCACAUGAGGCUCCAACGCAUCCACGGAUGGGGCCUUGGACUUGCUGCAAGUCUUGCCUUGGGCGCGUUCUCCCUCUCGGCCGCGGCUUGGUUCCGGUGGAACAUCGACACCAACAACACCCUCUUGUGCUAUGUUCGAAGGAUUGGCCAUUGCUUCGUGAGCUAACUUGCAUGCGUGCAAACCUUAGCUCUGAUACCACUUGUCACGGGAUGAGUAUUUUGCACAACUAACCCGUGCGGCACUUAGACAACUUUGCAUAAUGUUGCUAAGUAAGCCUAGAACUUCUCGAACUAGAGAAGAAAGCAAUGGAGCCGAAUAAAAGAACUUGUAUUGCAUCAAGAGAGAUUACAAUGCUUGUUGUAGUGUUUGUUGGAUCCAAAUACCUAAUGUCAUCCCAUAUUUAUAGGGGAGGCUUGCCAAGCUCUAGAGAUUCUAAAGAAUUCUACAAUUUCCUAGCUAUUUACAUGUGCUGGAAUUGUAUAGAGAAUUCUAGAGUAUUUACAAGCUCAAUGUGCUAGAGUUGCCUAGAACUUUCCAGAAUUGGGCCAAGCUAGCACUCUUGGCCUUGUGUUGGCUCUCUAGCUCGAAAUUAUGGUCCUAUUUAAAAUCCAGACGCCUUAAGCUCUUAUCGCCUUUGUGACAGAACUUUCCUAGACAUGUACAAAAAAUCACACAGUUGUUUUACUCACACCACUAUUCCCUACUUUGCACCGUAAAAUUCUUGAAUCGCUCUCACCGUUUCACAUGAAUAGUACCGUAUACGUGAAAAGUACCGUAUAUGUGAAUAGUACCGUAUACGUGAAUAGUACCCGACUCCAAAAAUAAAACCAAUAACUCUGAUACCACUGUUAGGAAAUUGGUAGGUGGAGCAGACACGUAGAUAAAAUAAAAUUGGAAGAAAAAUAAAGAACAAGCAUAAUAGAGGACACCAAAAAUUACGUAGUUCGGCUUUUAGCCUACGUCCACGGGUAAAGACAAAAGGAAAUAUUUUACUAGUGAAAAGGAGUUACAAGUAUUGUAGUAUUUUAGCUCACUUUCCAAAAAAACCCAAUGCACCCAACUCUCAAAUCACUAGACUCUUAAAAUCACUCUCUAAAUAAAGAAAAGAGCUGAAGAACUCGAUGAUUUACAAAUGAAGGGAGCCAGCAUUUUAUAGUAAAAAUUGGCUACUGUUCAUUUAAUAUUUAAUUAUUAUUAUUAUUAUUAUUUUAUUAAUUUUUUCUUUUCUUUUCCUUCUUCGGCCCGGCAUCUCUUUUUCUUCUCUCUUUCUUCUUUUUCUUUACUUUCUUUGGGCGGCACCAAAUUUUUCUUCUUUUGUUUUCUUUGAUUCAAAGAAUGCAGCAACAACCGCAUUCUUCUUCAAAAUGGUGGGCACCACCUUCUAGAAAAAGUGAUGCUAUUUUCCACACACUCUUAAUGAUAGAAGCCUUGAAGUCUUAGGUUCAAGUGCAGUGUGCGGUAUUACCACAUCGCAAGAAUGCAAGUGCAGUGUGCAGUACUAUCACAUCGCAAAAGCUUAAAAUUCAACCACAUUGUCAAGUGGCCAACGAUUCAAGUGCAGUGUGCAGUAUUACCGCAUCGGAAAAGCUUAAAAUCCACUCACUUUCUCAAGUGGAUCAUGUCAACUUUGCCUUAGCUUUUGUCAAGUGGCCAGCGAUCAUGUCAACUCGCCUUAGCUUUUUCUUGCAAACAAGUUGAUAGUGGCCAACAUUUAGAUUUUCUUAGCUUUUUCUUGUGAACAAACUGAUAAUGGCCAAGACUUAUAUUUUGAAAAUGACCAAGUCAAGUCUAGUUUCAAAUGUAGAAAAAAAAAAAAAAAAAAAAAAAGGAGAAAGGCGUCGUCUUUGUUUUAUGUCUGAACUUGUCCUAUUGUCUUUGAAUUUACAACUCUCAGAAACAGGUGAAGUUCAUAUUAGCAUCAUUGUUGAUGUUAGUGGUAUAAUAAAACCCGGAAGUAGAGCGUGUAAACAUUAUUUAACUACAAUUUAAUUUGUUUAUUACACUAAAUAAAAAUAAAAGAAAAGGCUGGGAAUAGUCACGGUUCGGCUUUCUUUAAAUCAUAAAAAUAUUGAAUUAAAUAAAAAUGCAUAAUCUAUUGGCAUCUGUCCGUUUGGAUUUUGUGGGCCUUUAUUUAGAAGUGACGUUUUUUUUUUAAAUUUUCAGUUAUCAAUUUUAGGUUGGAUAAAAUUAAACCAAAAAUCGAACUGAAAAUUUGAGUUUUAUUAAUAAUUGAGCGGAUCAAUUUAGUUUUUUUUUUUUUUUUUUUUUUUUAUAUUUUGAGAUCAUCAGUUAUAUUUUACACCAGUAAUAUAUUCAUAUGAAGAUUAUGAUUUUUACACGAUGAAGAGAAUUUUUUUUUUUUAAACUUUAGAAUCAGUAACUGAAGCUGUAAAAUCAUAAAACAGACCAGUCUACAACAUAGCUGUAAAUUUGUAAUGUUAUAACCCAUCAAUUUUUUUUUCUUUUGCUACAAUCUCAAUUAAUUUAUAACAAAUUAAAAUAAAUAAGUUAAAAAAAAAAAGGAAGAAGAAAAGAAGAAAUUCUAAUCACUGUUGUAGUUUUGGUCUAUCUUAAUUUUUUCUAUAGGUCACACGGGAAGUUUCUUAUAAUGGACACAAACUAGAAGAAUUUGUCCACCCAAAUAACAUCUAGAUAUGUAAGCCAAUAUGAUGUGCACAUUCCUGAGAUGACUGUGAGAGAAACACUUGAUUUUUCUGUUCAUUUUCAAGGUGUAGGAAAACCGAGUAGGUACAUUAUUUCUUGAACGCUCGGCAUCAUGAUACUUAAUUUGAUGGUUGCCGAUAUUUCAUCAAUCUUUUACCGUAAUAACAAAUGAAUAUUUGUUUGUACCUGUGAAGAAAUCAUGCUGGAAUUGAUUAAAAGGGAGAAAGAGACAGGAAUUAUCCCUGAUCAAGUUAUAGGUACCUACAUGAAGGUAUGUUUUAACAGUUGUGCUUUUGCUUAAUUUUGAUAGCACUGCAUCUAAAGUGUAAUACUCCAAAUUCACUUAAGAAUCUGAAGAGGAAAUUGGAAUGAAACGUCAUAACACUAAUCUUAUUAACAUUCCGAAAAACAUCCAUAUUCUCCACAAUCGAAGCAUAGUCUCUAAAAUAAUAAGUUGAACAAUAAUCCUCCAAAACAAGUUUCAGCUCUAAGUAGUAACCAAAGUAGGAACAAUUUAUUCAUCUAGAAAACCUCAAGGUUUUUCAUCAAACAAAUCCUCUUCUCUAAACCAAAAAGCCCGCAUCUUUCUAAUCAAUUUGCAAAAUGUUAGAGAUAAGCGGUGAGCCGUCAACUCAGUAAGCAAAUUCAUACAUAAGGUUCUAAUAACGAUAAAGUAUAAAAUAAUCUUUAUGAAGAACAAUAAUUAGAAACCAGUAAUCAUUUUAUAACAAAAUACGUAUAAACGGUAAAAUUCAUAAUCAGUUAAGUCAUAAAGUAAUAAUCAUUAUCAAUAAAUAAUCGUUUAAAAAAUCAUUUAUCAAUAAAACCUUUUUAUCUUCCAUCUAUGAAUGUUCUAGCCAACAUCAAGAUGUGAUAAUAAAACAACGUGGAAACAACGCUAAGAAUCCAAUUUGGACUACCUCUUUGGAAAAUUAGUACAAGCUUAAUGUAAAUCCGGAUGUUACUGCUUAAAAGAACUUGGCAGGUGUAGGGGCAGUUGUCACAAAUUCUGAGGUGGCUGAAUUCAUGGCUGUCACAGUAAAUAACUCAAGGAUUCAAUGGUGAUGUCGAGCUUCCAGAGGCAGAAGCAAUCAGAUUUGAAGUCCAAGGUGGUAUUGCCUGUGAUGAUGAUAGAGUCGGAUGCUAUGAAAAUGUUGUAAGUUUGAUAAAGGGCGAUGAAAGCAACUCUAAAUUUUAGAAAUUCGAGAGGAGAUGAUAAUAUUUUAAUUGUUCAGCUUAUAUAAAAAAUAGCUAAACUAUUUUCAAUUAAAUACAUAGUCAGCUAUUUGCUGCAAUAUUCAUCUAGGCAAUAUUGAUCCAAAAACAUAUUUCAUCUUCUGAGCUUUCCUAUAUAAUAUGCAAAAAAGAAAUGCAAGAAACAAAAGGAUAGAUGGUGAAACCCAAAAUAAUCUUCUUAGAAGGAAGACAAUGUUCUCGUUUCACCAAAUACAAUAAUUUCCGUGCCAAUAUCUCCAAAUUGUGAAGUAAUCAUACCAUUCAGUGCCCAAGAGGUAGGCAUCAUAUAAUACAACCAAAUCCACCAGUUAGAUUAAGUAACAAAGUUAAUGUUCAAAACAUUUUACUAAUUAUAUAUAUAUACACUAUUGAUACACAGAAAUGUUAACGUAGUGUCUAUGGCCAUACAAUAAACCAAACAAUGCACCAGGUGAUAUCCAGAACAGAUAUCCAUCAAAGUAUUUCUUACCCAAUUGUAGUGUUUGUGGGCAGUAUCUACAAGUAAUAAGAACCAAAUAGCUUUCUACAAAUGUUAAUAAAUAAUAAGUAUCAUAUGGCCAUACAGUAAGCUUUGUCAAAACAUGAAGUGUGCUGCACAAUGUGGUAUAAGACACAGCUUCUUUUGCUACCCAGGAGGAAGAAAUUCAUUCUCAGAGAGUCCUAUCUCCCCAUAUGUAAUCGGAGAAAUACAAAAAUCACACUUCAAACACAGUGGCAUCAAGGCUGCAACCAACAGUCACCAUAAGUUUAACCUUUUUCGGCUGAUGAUUCUAAAACCAAAUUGGUGAAGGUAUAAAUUGUCUUACGUUUCGAGAUAACGAAACCCCCAAAAAAUUGGGCCCAUGGCUUCUCCACCUCGGCACCACAUCAUCGUCCCACCACAUCAUCCACGUCAGCAUAACAUAACUAAUUAUGUGAUAUGUCAUCACACAAAAUUUCAAAAUCCAGCCCACACAUUCUUCCAGCCCAUGAGCACCAACAGCAACACCAAUUCUGAAACAAAAGCUUAAAAUCUUUUCCACCACUUUCAUCCACAUCAUCAUGACAUCACUGAUAAUGUAAGAUAUCAUCACACAAACGCUUAAAAUCCAGUGCACACAUUCUUUGACGGUGUGAUAUGUCAUCGCACAAAAACUUAAAAUCAAGCCGACACAUUCUUUCAGCCAGUAAACAUCAAUAGCAACGCCAUUUUUGACCUUGCAAUUUCGCGAAUGCAACCAAAUUGAAAAGGUCUAAGUCAAGUCUAGUUUAAAUUAAGGGUUAAAAAAAAAAAGAAGAAGAGAGGUGACUUCCUUGUUUUAAGUCUAAACUUGUCCUACUUUCAAAGCUAGGAGAAGCUCACUGUUGUGUAAAAUUUUAAUAUAUUAGUAAGUGCACAAAUUUAGAAAUAGAAUAGUGGUAACAAAGUCGAAUUCACAGGGAUUGCUAUAAAUUAAAAAAUCUAAUUUAAAUUUAAAAUUAAUAUUAAUCUUAACCUAGUUAAGCAAAUUGAGUUUUAAGAGAAAUUAAACUAAUUAAACUAAGAAAAUAAUUAAAGUAAAAGAGAAUUCAAUAAGACAAAAAUUACCAAGGUUUCAGAAUCAACCACUAUUCAACUAGUAAUUAUCUAAUUAUUAAUUAAUCCCAAAUUUUAGAGUGACAACUCGAAAUCAAUCUAUGUCAUCUCAUAGAUAUAACAAUUAUGCCCAAAUAAAAUUAAUCUUGUGUAGGUUCUUUUUCUGCUUAAUAGUAUGAUAUCUAAGCAUCUCAUGUAAACAUAUUGAAUAACAAAAAGUCAAAGUUUUCCUAAGCACUCUGUGUAAACAAUUUAAUGAAAGACAUAGAAUCAAAGAUAAUCAUAUAUAAAUUUUAUAGAUCCAAGCAUAAAUUUAGUCGGAUAUUAAUCCUAACAAUCAUUAAUGCAUGACAGAAUUGGUGAAAAUAUUUAAUAACAUUCAACUAAUCAUGUGAAACUAAAACCAUAAUCAUCAAAGAAUAUAUAUAGGGAAUUAAUUAAAUAAAAAUACAAUUAUUUUAUUAAAUAGUGUUUCAUCAUUAACCUCAGUAUAAGAAAAUUAGCUAGACAUACUUGAAUUGAGAGAAGCAAAAUUAAUAAAAUCAGCCAUGGGAAUAUUGGAGCUCUGUUUCGCGGCUCUUGCUUCGUCUGGCGGCUUCUCUUUAUAAUUGACCGAAUUCUCUUUUUAUAAUGCUAGUUGAUGGAAUUCUUCUCUAACUUCAAUUAUAAUUGUAGUAAGCCAAGCAGCGGCCUCUAUAGUUAAAUCUUUUAAGAUUUUUAUUCCAAUUGUUAUAAGGCAAAACGGGAAAGCCAGCAAAUUGAGUUAAAGUCAAUUUCUACAUUUAUCUCCACGUGAUGGCCAUAAUCUUCUUUGUCUUCAUGUGCAUGGAUGAAUUAAUUCACUAGCUUCGGUUUCCUUGGCUUCAUUUCCACAUGCAUGUAUGUCUAAUUGCUUCCAAAAUUAAUUAAUCUUUAAUGUUUCCUAAAUUGAACUUCUUCAUAUCUUUUUUAUCCAUAAUCUUCAAUUAAUUUCCUAUUCAACAAAAAAAUUUAAUUAAUUAAAAAUAACUAAUAAAAAUAACUAACAAUUAUAUAAUUAGGGGUAAUAUAUAUAUAUAUAUAUAUAUAUAUUGCUCACAUAUAAAGGCAAGCCAAGGAAAUUACCUUCUCACUUGUAGAAAUGAAUACCCACUCUCUUUAUUUUCCAUCCAUGCUUCUUUUUUUCAUUACACUGUUGCAAGUUGCAGCCUUUGAAGAGGGAGAUCGUGCUGCCUUGCAGGCCUUUAAGUCAAUGAUUUCUCAUGACCCUCAAGGAAUCCUCAACUCAUGGAAUGAUUCUCGCCAUUUCUGCGAAUGGGAGGGCAUUACGUGUGGUCGCAGGCACAGGAGAGUCACAGCCCUAAACAUGAGGUCAAAAGCCUUGCGUGGCUCGUUGUCUCCUUACAUUGGCAACCUCAGUUUCCUAAGAGAGAUCAACCUUGAGAAUAACACAAUCCAAGGUGAAAUCCCUCGUGAAUUUGGGCGUCUGCUCAGGUUAGAAGCUCUGUUUCUUUCAAAUAACUCCCUGGCUGGGAAAAUCCCAGCCAACUUGUCUUCCAGGCUCACAGUACUAGCCUUACCAUACAACAAGUUAGUAGGAAGAAUUCCAUUUGAGUUUGUCUCGCUAUGCAAACUCAAAAGACUAGCUUUACACAGAAACAGUUUGACAGGAGGAAUCCCACCUUUUCUUGGGAAUCUAUCGUCCCUGGAACUUUUGUCUCUAGGUGCGAAUUCUUUUGGAGGAAAUAUUCCAGAUUCAUUGGGUCAAUUGAAAGAGUUGGAAGCUCUUGGAAUUGGCGGAAACAACCUCUCCGGUACAAUCCCGC
rnacentral:lncRNA from 1 species